AAGGAUUUAAGUUAUCUAAACUAUUAACCUUCAAAGUUGAAAAUAUUCCUUAGGUUUAAGCCUUA
rnacentral:tRNA from 1 species